rnacentral:rRNA from 1 species
UGAGCAAUCUGCCCUUCUCAUCGGAAUAAGCGUUGGAAACGACGUCUAAUGCCGAAUACGACCUCCUUUCGCAUGAUCGGAGGUGGAAAGCUCAGGCGGAGAAGGAUGAGCUCGCGGCCUAUCAGCUAGUUGGUGUGGGUAAUGGCCCACCAAGGCGACGACGGGUAGCCGGCCUGAGAGGGUGACCGGCCACACUGGGACUGAGACACGGCCCAGACUCCGUAGGGACGG